AUUGAACGCUGUCGGCAGGCCUAACACAUGCAAGUCGAGCGAGCGGCGGACGGGUGAGUAAUGUCUGUGAAACUGCCUGUUGGUGGUGGCUUACUACUGGAAACGGUAGUUAAUACUGCAUACCAUCAGAUGUGCCCAGAUGGGAUUAGCUAGUAGGGGGGGUAACGGCUCACCAAGGCGACGAUCCCUAUCUGGUCUGAGAGGAUGACCAGCCACACUGGAACUGAGACACGGUCCAGACUCCUACGGGAGGCAGCAGUGGGGAAUAUUGCACAAUGGGCGCAAGCCUGAUGCAGCCAUGCCGCGUGUGUGAAGAAGGCCUUCGGGUUGUAAAGCACUUUCAGCGGGGAGGCGUUACCCGCAGAAGAAGCACCGGCUAACUCCGUGCCAGCAGCCGCGGUAAUUC
rnacentral:rRNA from 1 species